UACGGGGGGAGCAAGCGUUGUUCGGAUUUACUGGGCGUAAAGGGCGCGUAGGCGGUCGUGACAAGUCACUUGUGAAAUCUCCGGGCUUAACUCGGAACGGUCAAGUGAUACUGUCGGACUAGAGUACAGAAGGGGCAACUGGAAUUCUCGGUGUAGCGGUGAAAUGCGUAGAUAUCGAGAGGAACACCUGCGGCGAAGGCGGGUUGCUGGGCUGAUACUGACGCUGAGGCGCGAAAGCCAGGGGAGCGAACGGGAUUAGAAACC
rnacentral:rRNA from 1 species